rnacentral:sRNA from 1 species
UAUCUCUCCGUACGGGGAAGGAUGAGAAGCUUCGACUAAGGUUCGAUUCGAGCGCAGCGAGAAAACGUUGCCGCAGGCAACGACCCGAAGGGUGAGGAGCGGAGCGACGAAUAAUCCUUCCCCCACCAC